CCUCCCUCUGGCGGCGUGCUUAACCCAUGCAAGUCGAACGGAAAGGCCCUGCUUUUGUGGGGUGCUCGAGUGGCGAACGGGUGAGUAACACGUGAGUAACCUGCCCUUGACUUUGGGAUAACUUCAGGAAACUGGGGCUAAUACCGGAUAGGAGCUCCUGCUGCAUGGUGGGGGUUGGAAAGUUUCGGCGGUUGGGGAUGGACUCGCGGCUUAUCAGCUUGUUGGUGGGGUAGUGGCUUACCAAGGCUUUGACGGGUAGCCGGCCUGAGAGGGUGACCGGCCACAUUGGGACUGAGAUACGGCCCAGACUCCUACGGGAGGCAGCAGUGGGGAAUAUUGCACAAUGGGCGGAAGCCUGAUGCAGCAACGCCGCGUGCGGGAUGACGGCCUUCGGGCUGUAAACCGCUUUCGCCUGUGACGAAGCGUGAGUGACGGUAAUGGGUAAAGAAGCACCGGCUAACUACGUG
rnacentral:rRNA from 1 species